rnacentral:rRNA from 1 species
AGAGUUUGAGUCCUGGCUCAGGAUGAACGCUAGCUACAGGCUUAACACAUGCAAGUCGAGGGGCAGCAUGAAAGUUUUGCUUGCAAACUUUUGAUGGCGACCGGCGCACGGGUGAGUAACACGUAUCCAACCUGCCUCAUACUCGGGGAUAGCCUUUCGAAAGAAAGAUUAAUACCCGAUGUCAUAGUCCUACCGCAUGAUGGGAUUAUUAAAGAAUUUCGGUAUGGGAUGGGGAUGCGUUCCAUUAGUUAGUUGGCGGGGUAACGGCCCACCAAGACAACGAUGGAUAGGGGUUCUGAGAGGAAGGUCCCCCACAUUGGAACUGAGACACGGUCCAAACUCCUACGGGAGGCAGCAGUGAGGAAUAUUGGUCAAUGGACGAGAGUCUGAACCAGCCAAGUAGCGUGAAGGAUGACUGCCCUACGGGUUGUAAACUUCUUUUAUAUGGGAAUAAAAUGUUCCACGUGUGGGAUUUUGUAUGUACCAUAUGAAUAAGGAUCGGCUAACUCCGUG